ACGUGACGGUACGCGACCAUAGAACUUCUAAUCCGAUGGCCGCAGGUUCGAAUCCUGCCGGGUGCGCCA
rnacentral:tRNA from 1 species